rnacentral:rRNA from 1 species
CUACGGGGUGCAGCAGUGAGGAAUAUUGCACAAUGGGGGGAACCCUGAUGCAGCAACGCCGCGUGGAGGAUGACGCAUUUCGGUGUGUAAACUCCUUUUAUAUGUCAAGAAAAUGACGGUAGCAUAUGAAUAAGCACCGGCUAACUCCGUGCCAGCAGCCGCGGUAAUACGGAGGGUGCAAGCGUUACUCGGAAUCACUGGGAGUAAAGGACGCGUAGGCGGGUUGGAAAGUCAGGUGUGAAAUCCUACAGCUUAACUGUAGAACUGCACUUGAAACUUCUAAUCUAGAGUAUGGGAGGGGGAGAUGGAAUUAGUGGUGUAGGGGUAAAAUCCGUAGAUAUCACUAGGAAUACCGAGAGCGAAGGCGAUCUCCUGGAACAUUACUGACGCUAAGGCGUGAAAGCGUGGGGAGCAAACAGGAUUAGAUACCCUCGUAGUC